UACGUAGGGUGCAAGCGUUGUCCGGAAUUAUUGGGCGUAAAGAGCUCGUAGGCGGUCUGUCGCGUCUGCUGUGAAAACUCAGGGCUUAACCCUGAGCUUGCAGUGGGUACGGGCAGACUAGAGUGCGGUAGGGGAGACUGGAAUUCCUGGUGUAGCGGUGAAAUGCGCAGAUAUCAGGAGGAACACCGGUGGCGAAGGCGGGUCUCUGGGCCGUAACUGACGCUGGAGGAAGCGAAAGCUAGGGGAGCAAACGGG
rnacentral:rRNA from 1 species